UGGUGGGGCGGUCUCCUUCGGCAACCCCGGCCGAACGGCCACCCAGAGGCUGUGCUGAGCUGGCGCAGCGGCAGCAGCAUGAGCCGGACCCUCGCAUCGGCCGUGCCCCUGUCGAGUCCCGACUACUACGAGAGGCUGGGCCAACUCCAGCACGGGCUGCGGGACAGUGAAAAGAAGAGAUUGGACCUGGAAAAGAAACUUUAUGAAUAUAAUCAGUCUGAUACAUGCAGGUUUCUUCCUCCACUAUUAAGAGCAGAUCUUAAAUAUUUUAAUUUCUAUUUUAUAAAAACUGAACUUUAUCCUUAAGCCAAAAGUAUGGCAUUACCUCUUAUAUUAUUCAUAUGAAGAACUUCUGGCUUUGAUAGCAUUAAGUUUGUAAUUUAUCCAUGUCACACUAUGAGUGAGAAAUGAAAAGAUCUCAUCCAGAAGAGAGAGAGGCCAAGAAUUCUU
rnacentral:sRNA from 1 species